AAGAAGAAAACUGAGUUAGCUGAGCUUUUCUUUUUAUUGGCUCUGGAAUAACUGGAAGAGGGUGGGAAUUGGAGUGUGAAUCAGCAUUGGUUGUGACUGUUUGUCCAGUUAGGGAGUGAGAGUGGGGAAAACCCUGGUUAAUUUCCUCAUUUCUCUUUCCGGUACCCUGGCUCUAUGUGUCUUCAUAACUUCACAUUGUAUUAUAUUAUAUUAUAUUAUAUUACCCCCGGAUUAUGUAGAUUCUCAGACUGAACUGGACUUAGGUUCAUGGCUGGGCAAAAUGAGCCCAAGGCUAUGAAGUGACAGCCCAAAGUGAUAAGCUUCAGGCCUGCUGGUUAGGUACCCUGUGGGCACGUUGCCUGCUGUGCACUUGGCCAUGGGAAAGCCUCGAGGUGGAGGGAGAGUUCCUUCACACCAGGUGGACUCUCGGGCACAGAGUGGCGUGCAUACCCAGCAGCCUGGCCACAGACAGUUGUCCAGUGGGUUGCCUGGGUACUUCCUGAGGACACCUGUGUCUUUUCUUCCAGAUUGACCAGUUAAUUUUAAUGCUAGAAAGCCAUGUUUGCUACAAAAGGAGAAAUAAAGCAAAAUGAAAACUGAAAGAGCGUGGGCGUUUUGUCACAGGUGCCAUGGAAUUCUUCCCCACAGCGCUGUACCCUUUGCUCUGUUUCAGGCGGUUGGUCAGAAGGGGACAGCAGUGGAAUAAGUGGCUGGUGAAUAAACAUCGGCACCAGGGCCACUGUGGCUGUCAGAGCCCUGCUGUCCCUCCUGGCUGGGAUGUUUUCGAUACCUAGGAACUUACCUGCAGUUGACCAGGUUGGAGCUGUUGGUCCUGAGAGGCACUUGAGUCAAGUACCCUCCAUUCAGCAGUACCUUACUGUGGGGAUUUGCAGUUCUUCCCUCUGAAAGUUCACAUGGGACACCACAAAGUGAUGAGGUGCUGAUUCUGGGUCAAAGACACAAAAAAGCCUUCUGUGCUGUGGGAUACAGCAGCACAGUUAUCAUCUCAAGCUGCCUACCUGUGCCACAUCCCAGCUAAUGAACCUCUGGGCUCCAUCUUCCACCUUUGUGAAAUGGGACUGAACUCAAGUGCUGCUGCCAGGAUGCAGUGAGUUAAGUAUUUUGUUCCAUUUGGAUGCUGGUAGUCAAAUGCUAUGGGAGAGUACAGGGUGCAGGAAGAAGGGUGUAGUGUCAAUGGCGUACACACCUCUCUGGUCCCUGUCUACUGAGUGUGCUCAUCUCGAAAGGUUGUAAGAAGCAACUGUGCAAAGGAGAGGAGGAAGAGGGGAAGGAAAAGCCCCCAGGUGCUGAUGGGAGCCUUAAAAACCUAGCUGUACACCAAAGUGAAGGAAAUAAGAGGCUCCAAAGCCACUGUGUCCAUCGUAUGGCUGAGGGACCAGUAAGUCUCAUGUUUGAGAGCAUUUGAAUUUAGCAUAGAGAAACAAGAUAUUUGAGAGGGUGUGGCUAGAGAGUGAGAUUAUUGCCACAUUGUAAACACGAAAUUAAAAAUCGAGUUUUUAGAACAUAGGCGAUCUUGAAUCAUAGUAAGGCAUUGAAACAAAUAAAAUAUCGGUUUUUUUCCAGAAUGGAAAAAUAUAAACAUAAUUUCCUUUCUAUGAUACAAAAAUGAAGGUUUUUGUUUUUUUUUCCUCAAUUGAACCAAGUGGAAGUGUGUAAAGUAGAAUGAGACCUAGCGGAUUUGCUGCCUUACCUUACCUCUACCCCUACCUCUGAACCUACCAUGUGUUCCCAUGCCCAUAGCAUCUUUUAAAAUGCACUUUCUAGUAAACUUUUCCAAAUCAAAAAUCCUUUGUUAUGAACCGCAUGACCUCUUCCUUCCCCCAGUGUAUCUGACCUGUCGAUUUAGAUUUUAUUAAAUUAGGUUAUCUGGAAAAGGUACGCCUAAAACCUGGUGCCCUUCC
ensembl:lncRNA